UUAGUUUCUAUAAAUUGUUUGCGUAUACAGCGCUCCCUUGUGUUGAAUUGUCUUAAAAUCCAUAUUAUAUAAGCGGUGACGUGCGGAUUCAGAACUCACUUAAUAUAAUUCAAAUUCCUAAAUAUAUUUGCAUUGUCAGAGAGUUUUAUAAAACGACUGCAUUUUAAUUAAAUGAUUGUUGAGAUGCCGAGCAGGUACAUAUAGGUAUAACACAAUAAAUAAGCUCAGUUUCACUUCAGUUAGUGGAUAGGACAAAAGUAGGGCUUUAAAAAAAAAAUUAAAAAAUCAUACCAAUAAUCCAAAUCUAGCGGAGAAUCUGCAUUCACGAGGAACUGAAAAUAUUUUGUGUAAAGUCUUGGGAUAGUCUUGACCAGAGCAUUUAUAAUUUAGUGAUUUUUUAAAAAAAUAUUAUUAUUUUGUAUAAAUAGAGGUUCCUGUCAAAGUCAAAAAUCCUUGAUGCAGUACACAAAUUUAUGUGGCGCUUUUAUGCAUUGUAAAUUUACAAACGGGUCGGUGCCUACCCUAUCACGAUAGCAAGGUUAAAUCUAGUCGAAAUUCUAAUCCUUGCACUCGCAUUAGAACUUUAAUUAUGUAUCCAGAAAAGUACGAUAUAAAAGCCCCCAAAGCACAUUUGUAUGUCAUUUACACCACACUACAAGACGCACUGGAAACCACUCGUAAGGGAAGCGUAUCCAAAUGACGCAGCGCCCUAGUUUGCUGCACUAGUAGGCUAAGUUGAAGAUGACGGAAUACUUGGCGUCCAUUUUCGGCGCAGAGAAAGACAAGUGAGAUAAAAUGCAGUACGUGUGCUUCGGAGCGAGUUAAUUGUUCUUUCUAUUUUAAAAUUGGGGCUUGUCGCCAUGGGGACCGCUGUUCCAGGUUGCAUAAUAAGCCGACAUUUAGCCAGGUGCAGUCACCGAUGUGGAGAUGCAGGAACAUUACAAUGAAUUCUUUGAGGAAGUCUUUACAAAGAUGGUGGAGAAGUAUGGUGAAGUGGAGGAGAUGAAUGUGCACGAUAACCUGGGGGAUCAUUUAGUUGGCAACGUAUAUGUGAAGUGAAUGCACAUGAGACGGUUUCUGCAACUUCAUGCAUCUGAAGCCCAUCUCCCGAGAGCUCCGUAGGGAGCUUUAUGGUCGCCGUCGUAAAAGGUAGACAACUGUCGGCAAACUGAGUGCCGUAAUGUAACAUUUUAUUCUGUUAUUACUACACGCUUUUCAGUUCUUUACAAAAACAUUCCUGUCUCCUGUAACAGUCACAGUGGUAAGUAAUUCUUGUGAAUGCUAAUUCUGUUUGGCAUAAUAGCUAAGGGGGGCAGUGCGUGGCUCAGUGGGCUAAGCCUCUGUGGCUGUUAUCAGAAGGUCACCAUUUUGAACCCUGGUUCAGCAGGAUGGCCACAUUUCCAUGGGCCCGUGACCAAGGCCUGUAACCCCCAGCUCCCUGGGUACCACAAGGUGGCCGCCCUCUUGCUGCCCCCCCCCCCCCCCCCCAAGCUUGCUGUCACCUAUAUGGACAGCCACAGCUUGACAGCAUGGCUGCAUGUAGAGGGUUAGGGAUACGUCGUGUUCUUUCUGCAAUCUGAUUCUCCCACACUUCACUUCCAUAUUAGAUUCUUUUGUGUAUGUCUGUCAUAACCUCCCAUUGUUCAGGAUCCACUUAAAAUGUUUAAACAUAAUAUGCAUUGAUUGAGUUUUGGGUAAAAAAAAAUAUUACUGAUUUCCAUCUUAUUUUGUAAAGCUUCAAUUUUAGGAACUGUGGCAGCUUGGAUCAAAAACUGGCU